rnacentral:rRNA from 1 species
GAUGAACGCUGGCGGCGUGCCUAACACAUGCAAGUCGAGCGUGAACCCUACGAAUGAAACUUCGGUCGAUUUUGUAGGGGGAAAGCGGCGGACGGGUGAGUAUCGCGUAGGUAACCUGCCCUAUACUGAGGGAUAGCCUCGGGAAACCGGGAUUAAUACCUCAUAAAGCCAUGCUUUUGCAUGGAAGUAUGGCCAAAGAUUUUAUCGGUAUAGGAUGGGCCUGCGUCUGAUUAGCUAGUUGGUGGGGUAACGGCCUACCAAGGCGACGAUCAGUAGCCGACCUGAGAGGGUGAUCGGCCACACUGGAACUGAGACACGGUCCAGACUCCUACGGGAGGCAGCAGUGGGGAAUAUUGCACAAUGGGCGAAAGCCUGAUGCAGCAACGCCGCGUGAGCGAAGAAGGCCUUUGGGUCGUAAAGCUCUGUCCAAGAGGAAGAUAAUGACGGUACUCUUGGAGGAAGCCCCGGCUAACUACGUGCCAGCAGCCGCGGUAAGGCUACGUAGA